rnacentral:rRNA from 1 species
AUACGGAGGAUGCGAGCGUUAUCCGGAUUUAUUGGGUUUAAAGGGGGCGUAGGUGGGAUAUUAAGUCAGCUGUGAAAGUUUGGGGCUCAACCUUAAAAUUGCAGUUGAUACUGGUUUCCUUGAGUACGGUACAGGUGGGCGGAAUUCGUGGUGUAGCGGUGAAAUGCUUAGAUAUCACGAAGAACUCCGAUCGCGAAGGCAGCUCACCGGGCCGGAACUGACACUGAUGCUCGAAAGUGCGGGUAUCAAACAGGAUUAGAUACCCUGGUAGUCCGCACAGUAAACGAUGAAUACUCGCUGUUUGCGAUACACGGUAAGCGGCCAAGCGAAAGCGUUAAGUAUUCCACCUGGGGAGUACGCCGGCAACGGUGAAACUUAAAGGAAUUGGCGGGG